rnacentral:rRNA from 1 species
AUUGAACGCUGGCGGCAGGCCUAACACAUGCAAGUCGAACGGUAACAGGAAGCAGCUUGCUGCUUCGCUGACGAGUGGCGGACGGGUGAGUCAUGUCUGGGAAACUGCCUGAUGGAGGGGGAUAACUACUGGAAACGGUAGCUAAUACCGCAUAACGUCGCAAGACCAAAGAGGGGGACCUUAGGGCCUCUUGCCAUCGGAUGUGCCCAGAUGGGAUUAGCUAGUAGGUGGGGUAACGGCUCACCUAGGCGACGAUCCCUAGCUGGUCUGAGAGGAUGACCAGCCACACUGGAACUGAGACACGGUCCAGACUCCUACGGGAGGCAGCAGUGGGGAAUAUUGCACAAUGGGCGCAAGCCUGAUGCAGCCAUGCCGCGUGUAUGAAGAAGGCCUUCGGGUUGUAAAGUACUUUCAGCGGGGAGGAAGGGAGUAAAGUUAAUACCUUGGCUCAUUGACGUUACCCGCAGAAGAAGCACCGGCUAACUCCGUG